UACGUAGGGUGCGAGCGUUGUCCGGAAUUAUUGGGCGUAAAGAGCUCGUAGGCGGUUCAUUGCGUCGACUGUGAAAUCCCAAGGCUCAACCUUGGGUCUGCAGUCGAUACGGGUGGACUAGAGUUCGGUAGGGGGAGACUGGAAUUUCUGGUGUAGCGGUGGAAUGCGCAGAUAUCAGAAGGAACACCGGUGGCGAAGGCGAGUCUCUGGGCCGAUACUGACGCUGAGGAGCGAAAGCGUGGGGAGCAAACAGG
rnacentral:rRNA from 1 species